CCGAAAUCACAGCGCACGUGCGCAACAAGUAUGGCGACCACCGGUGAGUCGGUGAAAGUGGUUUUGUUGAACCCCCCGUGAAGCAUCUCUGGCCGGAAAGGGGAAACCGUAGCAGAGUGACUUGGUGUGACCCACCUUGAGGUCCAGCCGGUUCCGGAAGCGGGGUCCGUAGAAGGCGAGUCGCCAUUUUGGCCGAGCACUCUGGUUCGAGGCCGGGUGUAGUGACGGGCUGGCUGGACGGAACGAGUUACACGGUGAAACAAUGGAAUUUAGCCAAGCUAAAACACAACACUGAAUCCCCAAUGUCACUUCCUGUCUGCCCAGGGCACAUUUGUAGCAACACAUGUGUGUGUGUGUCUCAGCAGACACAACAGUCGCACGGCCCCGCCCAUCUUUGUUGGCGAUGUACGGAGGCGACCGGGACCCGGUGGAUCUCCUUAGCUACAUGCCCGCCUCUCCUGCCGCCUCCCGCUGAUGAUGUUGAGGUGCGGCGCACCUAUUUUUGAACACUUCACUUCCAUAAACGGACAAAGCUGCAGACCCAGCAAGCCCCCCCCCCCAAUCACCAAGCUGCAGAUGAAAGGAGGACCCCGAGACCUUGGCUCAGCUCCCCAGUGGAAACAGCUGCACGAAAGCCAACCAGCAGGUCCAACCUGACAGAGGAAAGCCGACCACCACCACAACAACCCGUUGUGACCACCCCUAUGGAACAGACCCGCCAGGAGCAUAUAAACGGGGGACCCGAAGAAGCCUGUUGGAUUAAAGGUGAAAAGUCUUCGAUCCUUGCUCAAUACUAAGGUCUAAGUUCUAUAAUUUGAGCAGACAUACUGAUGCACUUAAUGUUUUCUGGGUUGUUUGGGGGUAAAUGGAACACAAAAAAGCUACCAAACCGUGUCAAUCCAAAGUGUUAAUUGAACGCAAUCCCUUUCAUCAGCGAAGAGCGCACGCUGGUGAGCUGAUUUGGAUACAUUUGCACAGUGAGCGCUUCAAUCAAGAGACAUUUUCCCCAUCAUUAAAUGGCACAUUGAAGAUUAUCUUCAGCGGUUGCCACAGUGACUCCAUCUAUCAUGAUUUACUGCAAAUGUGCAGGGAACUAUUUUGCCGUCUGAUCCGGUGAGAGUUAUAUUUUCUUCCCUCUAUCCUCCUCUCACCGCCUCUUUUCCACCAUAAGUGAGUCUAAAGAGACCUCUUUGAUCUUGUCUCAUUGCUCUCACCACUUCAGACCCAAUUGAAAUCACAAGACUGACUAUUUUAAGAACAAAGCUGUCAUCGUGUUGAACAAGGAAAAGUGGAGCCUGCUUUUAUUCCCGCUGCCAAACCUGUCUGUCGCACGUCAAGGAUCUGUGGAAGCCGCACAUGUGAAUACAUAAUAUAUGGAAUUGAAUGUAUUAUUAACAAUGGUUUACAUUAUUGAAACUGUGAAAGCGAUAGUGUUUCACUUUUAAUUCAGUACAUGCUCAUUUAGAGGGACAAAUAAUCCUUUAUCCCUACACACUUCUAUAGCUUUACGUGCAGGGAAUACACUAGUCCCUCGUUUAUCAAUUGUAAUUGGUCCCAGACGCGACUGUGAAUUCCUUCUUUAUAAAUUCAAUAUAAUAUAUAAUUCAAUAUAAGUUCGAGCACGGCAAAUCGAGUUACAACCUUCUAAAUAUGUUUUUUAACAUUAUUAGAGCCCUCUAGAUAUGGAAUAACACCCCUAUAGUCACCUUCACACUUGUUUUACCUUAAAAAAUUGAUAUAAUAACAGAAAAUAAGCAAUUUAAGACAUAGAUAAGACAAAUAGUCCUUUAUCCCUACACACUUCUAUAGCUUUAUAUGCAGGGAAUACAGUAGUCCCUCGUUUAUCACGUGUAAUUGGUCCCAGACACGACUGUGAUAAAUGAAUUCCUUCUUUAUAGUAGAAUUCCUUCUUUAUAAAUUCAAUAUUUUCAGAGUUCGAGCACGGCAAAUCGGGUUACAACCUUCUAAAUAUGUUUUUUUUAACAUUAUUAGAGCCCUCUAGAUAUGAAAUAACACCCCUAUAGUCACCUUCACACUUGUAUUACCCAACAAAGUGGAUAUAAUAACAGACAAUAAGCCAUUUAAGACAUAAAUAAGACAAAUAGUCCUUUAUCCCUACACACUUCUAUAGCUUUAUAUGCAGGGAAUACAGUAGUCCCUUGUUUAUCAUGUGUAAUUGAUCCCAGACCCGACUGUGAUGAGUGAAUUUCCACCAAGUAGAAUUCCUUCUUUAUAAAUUCAAUGUUUUCAGAGUUCGAGCACGGCAAACUGGGUUACAACCUUCAAAAUAUGUUUUUUUUAAACAUUAUUAUCAUACUUUUUUAUUAGUAGUAUUUUAGUGUUACCUAACAAAGUGUAUAUAGUAACAAACAAUAAGGCAUUUAAGUCACAAAUAAGACUGUCAUUGUCAUUGGUCAUUGGUGUUGCUGUAAAUGUAGUGCAGUGACACCAUGUGACACCGAGUGACCAGUUUAGAAUACUACUUAUUCCAGCGUUUUUGAAUGCAUCUUCUGAAUGCCUUAAAUAUGCAUUUUAGUUAAUUUAGCCAUUUUUAAUGCUUGAAAAAUACUUUAUUUUUGAUUAAUAAUAGGUCGUAUUCAAUCAUAAAACAGCAUGAUAUAUGAUGAAUCAUUAAAAAAAACACCAUGUUUUUAAAACUAUCCAUGGGUGACACUUUAUAUUACAAAUUUAAGACAAUGGUAAAACUAUACCUUUCAUUACAAAUCCCCCCCCCCCCAAAAAAAAAAAAUAAAAAUAAAAAAAAUGGCUCCCCUUUUUAAAACACCAGCAAACAUAAAAACAGUGCCUGGUUAUGAUUAUGCAUCCUCUUUUCCCCUCCACUAAGUCUUCUGUGGUCAAUAGCGGUUAGCGGUUGGUCUAUAAUCUGUCAGGAAUGUCUCUCCUGUCCGACUGACAUCCUCUUGGCACCACCAUUUCUCUACUGUUGCCGACUGACAUGAAAUUUACUGACGACAGGUUCCCGGCUAAACAAGGAAGGGAGUAUGUCAGAGGUUGGAGUCACGGGGAUUUAAGCCUGACAACAGAAAAGCCACAUAAAGCCUUUUCACCAUAAAAGGACCUGACUCCUGGUAGCAGGUGUCAAACACGCAUCAUGCAUGUAAUGGAUUUGUGCUGAUAGUGGGCUGCCAGGAGAGAUAAAGAGGGGAUGGCCCGGGAUAUAUAUAUAGUAUAUAUAUAUUUAUAUAUAUUUUUAUAUACAGUGCACCCAACUGUCGAGACGUUCUCACAUGGGGGCAGUGUUGCACCACCAGUCAUACCUCCCAUCGUCUCCGUCCUGCUCCUCUCCAUGUCCUUCACACACCUUUCAGGCACAAGAUGCAAUGGGUGUUACCCUGUCGGUGACAUUUUCCGUCUUCACAAGUCAGCAUCGAGAUCAAUGGUGUGAAUAGUGGCCCCCCCUCCUCCCCUCUCGGAGAAGACAAUAUAGUGGGGGCCUCUUUUUCUCCCCUCAAAACUGACUUACAACGGUAGGGGUUCCCAAAGAUUUAAAAAAAAAAUCCCUUGCCAUUUUUGCAGCUUUGUUCUAUCCCAGUUUUCAAAAAUCCAUGAAUUAAUAAAUGCAUAUUUAAGCAAAUGUUACAUAUUUUAUGCCUCGUUUAAGCAUUGUUACACAUAAAAAAAUGGCUAAAUGAUCUCAAAUACAAAUAUUAGGCAUUGGAUAAUGCAUUCAAUGUUGUUUACUUGGUGUACUGUUCGGUGAGACACACAAACAAGCACCAGACCUGAAUGCAAAAACAACAGGCUUAUAUUGCAGGUCCCACAAUUAAAACAAUUAACACAGGCUACUGACGCUAAAACUCAACUCUGAACCCCAAACGUCCCUUCCUGUCCUCCCCCAUUGUGCUACCUUAGCACAACAACAAGGAACUAACAUGUACGUGUCUACAUUAUCUCUUAUUUAUGUCUUAUCUCGAGUCUAGAGGGCUCUAAUAAUGUUAAAAGCAUAGUUAGAAUGUAGGAAACAGGUUUUCUAUGCUCUAUGAAACAUUCCAUAUAUGUGUCUACAUUAUGUCUUAUUUAUGUCUUAUCUCGAGUCUAGAGGGCUCUAAUAAUGUUAAAAAGCAUAGUAAAUAAUGUAGGAAACAGGUUUUUUUAAUGCUCUAACUCCAAAAUAUUCCAAAUAUGUGUGUACAUUAUGUCUUAUUCAUGUCUUAUCUCGAGUCUAGGGUGCUCUAAUAAUGUUAAAAGCAUAGUUAGAAUGGAUGAAACAGGUUUUCUAUGCUUUAACUACGAAACAUUCCAUAUAUGUGUCUACAUUAUGUCUUAUUUAUGUCUUAUCUCGAGUCUAGAGGGCUCUAAUAAUGUUAAAAGAGCAUAGUUAGAAUGUAGGAAACAGGUUUUUUAUGCUCUUACUACAAAAUAUUCCAAAUAUGUGUGUACAUUAUGUCUUAUUUAUGUCUUAUCUCGAGUCUAGAGGGCUCUAAUAAUGUUAAAACGCAUAGUUAGAAUGUAGGAAACAGGUUUUCUAUGUUCUAACUACGAAACAUUCCAUAUAUGUGGAUACAUUAUGUCUUAUUUAUGUCUUAUCUCGAGUCCAGGGGGCUCUAAUAAUGUUCCUGCUUUGUUUGACGGUCCUUGAACACACCAUAGUUGUGUGUGUUUGUGCUAAUUUUAUAAUAGGUUCAUGUUUUUCCCUGUUUGUCUUUCACCUCAUUCUUGUUCCCCCAUGCUGAUGCUGCGCGCUAACGCGUAAAGGUCAGGUUUGAUGACGCUCUUACGUCUGUUUUUCAGCGCUAAUGUGCAAAUUUUCUUGGCGCACAACCUCAGCCUCACUUCUGCAGUUCACGUAGCUGUGCUAAUGUUGCUAUGCUAUGCUACCCCCCUGGCCGAAAACAUCCACUAGGUGUCUUCCACAGGUGGGGGGCGGGGGGGGGGGGCACUCUGGUUCAAUGCAUCAAUUAGCAUUCUGUUCAUUCUACUCAACUAAUCGAUUUGUUGAAGAAUGUGUCACUUGGUAUUCUGGAGCGGCCGUCCUCGUUCCUCCCGUCGGCUCCCCCCUUCAACCCCGCCCAUACGUCAGUCGUUUGAGGACGCCGGUCGUCUGAGGACAGGCACGCUAGAAGGGGGAGAGAUGGCGACAGAGUGAUUUUGGAGAACGCUUUGCUGCUGUGCAUAUGGAUUGCUCCAAGAAAUGACAUAGCAAACUAUUUCAGCAGGAAAUCUUCUUCUUCGGAAGAUUCUCCAGUUUCUGUAAUCAUAAAGGUCAUGCUAAUUAGAAAUUGUACUUUUACAACCGUGAGGAUACUCACUUUUCAAUGACCGCCGAGGCCACUUUGAUAUUUUGUAAACCCACACAUCAGGUACUGCAGGUGGGGCGUGAGAGGUCAUUAAAAAUAUGAAUAAUUUUUGCAAAUAUAAUUUUUAAUGUUAUUUUUACUGUAAAAUAUCUAUUGAACGACUUGAAAAAAAAUAUGUAUAGGUAAGUAAUAACCUAUUGAGUGUUAUUGACAUGUCACAAUAUUUUAGGAACCUUAUACAGUUUAUGAUUGGAACUUAGCUCUCUGGUCAUCAUGCCAGUCUUGGAUGCAGUUAUGAAAAUUAUGAGAAUUAAUUCUGUCUUGUGGGUACACCACCAAUUAAAAGUUUGGGUUUCCUUUAUCCCCCUGCUUUCAUUUCAAUCCUGAAUCUUAAUGAUAAUAAUAAUUAUUAUUAUACAAUUAUAACAAUAAUAAAUAAAUAAUAAAAUAAUAAUCAUUCUUAUAUAAUUAUAUUAUUAUUAAUUAUUUUUAUUAUAUAAUUAUAACAAUUAUUAUAUAAUUAUAACAAUA